rnacentral:rRNA from 1 species
GAUGAACGCUGGCGGCGUGCCUAAUACAUGCAAGUCGAGCGAACAGAUGAGGAGCUUGCUCCUCUGACGUUAGCGGCGGACGGGUGAGUAACACGUGGAUAACCUACCUAUAAGACUGGGAUAACUUCGGGAAACCGGAGCUAAUACCGGAUAAUAUAUUGAACCGCAUGGUUCAAUAGUGAAAGACGGUUUUGCUGUCACUUAUAGAUGGAUCCGCGCCGCAUUAGCUAGUUGGUAAGGUAACGGCUUACCAAGGCAACGAUGCGUAGCCGACCUGAGAGGGUGAUCGGCCACACUGGAACUGAGACACGGUCCAGACUCCUACGGGAGGCAGCAGUAGGGAAUCUUCCGCAAUGGGCGAAAGCCUGACGGAGCAACGACGCGUGAGUGAUGAAGGUCUUCGGAUCGUAAAACUCUGUUAUUGGGGAAGAACAAAUGUGUAAGUAACUAUGCACGUCUUGACGGUACCUAAUCAGAAAGCCACGGCUAACUACGUG